rnacentral:rRNA from 1 species
UACGUAGGGUGCAAGCGUUGUCCGGAAUUAUUGGGCGUAAAGAGCUCGUAGGCGGUUGUCGCGUCGAAUGUGAAAACCCGGGGCUCAACCCCGGGCCUGCAUUCGAUACGGGCAGACUAGAGUUCGGUAGGGGAGUCUGGAAUUCCUGGUGUAGCGGUGAAAUGCGCAGAUAUCAGGAGGAACACCGGUGGCGAAGGCGGGAUCCUGGGCCAGUACUGACGCUGAGGAGCGAAAGCGUGGGAGCAACAGG